rnacentral:ncRNA from 1 species
GGCGAAGCUGAGAACUUAAGCGCCAGUAAACGGCGGUGGUAACUAUAACCAUCCUAAGGUAGCGAAAUUCCUUGUCGGGUAAGUUCCGACCUGCACGAAUGGCGUAACGACUUCUCGACUGUCUCAACCAUAGGCCCGGUGAAAUUGCACUACGAGUAAAGAUGCUCGUUUCGCGCAGCAGGACGGAAAGACCCCGGGACCUUUACUAUAGCUUGAUAUUGGUGUUCGGUUCGGCUUGUGUAGGAUAGGUGGGAGACUGUGAAGCAUGCACGCCAGUGUGUGUGGAGUCGUCGUUGAAAUACCACUCUGGUCGUGCUGGAUGUCUAACCUGGGUCCGUGAUCCGGAUCAGGGACAGUGUCUGGUGGGUAGUUUAACUGGGGCGGUUGCCUCCUAAAGGGUAACGGAGGCGCCCAAAGGUUCCCUCAGCCUGGUUGGCAAUCAGGUGUUGAGUGUAAGUGCACAAGGGAGCUUGACUGUGAGACCGACGGGUCGAGCAGGGACGAAAGUCGGGACUAGUGAUCCGGCGGUGGCUUGUGGAAGCGCCGUCGCUCAACGGAUAAAAGGUACCCCGGGGAUAACAGGCUGAUCUUCCCCAAGAGUCCAUAUCGACGGGAUGGUUUGGCACCUCGAUGUCGGCUCGUCGCAUCCUGGGGCUGGAGUCGGUCCCAAGGGUUGGGCUGUUCGCCCAUUAAAGCGGUACGCGAGCUGGGUUUAGAACGUCGUGAGACAGUUCGGUCCCUAUCCGCUGUGCGCGUAGGAGUCUUGAGAAGGGCUGUCCCUAGUACGAGAGGACCGGGACGGACGAACCUCUGGUGUGCCAGUUGUUCUGCCAAGGGCAUGGCUGGUUGGCUACGUUCGGGAGGGAUAACCGCUGAAAGCAUCUAAGCGGGAAGCCUGCUUCGAGAUGAGGACUCCCACCCACUUGAUGGGGUAAGGCUCCCAGUAGACGACUGGGUUGAUAGGCCAGGUGUGGAAGACCGGUAACGGUUGGAGCUGACUGGUACUAAUAGGCCGAGGGCUUGUCCUC